rnacentral:misc_RNA from 1 species
AGUCUUUAGUUCGUUCGAAACGUUACGUCAUGUGUUCCUGACGUUCCGCAAAAUAAUUUCAUAUUAAUAAUGAUAAAAUAAAUUAAUCUUUAUCUAAAUUAUGAUCCACCAGAAACCAGAUCUUAUAAAGUGCAAACAAUAGAUAAAAGUCAUCCCGAAGGUUAGUCGAGGCCACAAAAUAAAUCCGCAGUUUGGGUCACGAACU